GUUUGAUCCUGGCUCAGAUUGAACGCUGGCGGUAUGCUUAAGACAUGCAAGUCGCACGGUAGAGGCUUCGGCCUUGAGAGUGGCGGACGGGUGAGUAACACGUGGGAAUCUACUCAGUAGAGGGGGACAGCCCAGCGAAAGCUGGAUUAAUACCGCAUACGCCCUAAGGGGGAAAGGCGCAAGCCGCUAUUGAAUGAGCCCGCGUAAGAUUAGCUAGUUGGUAAGGUAAAGGCUUACCAAGGCGACGAUCUUUAGCUGGUUUGAGAGAAUGACCAGCCACAUCGGGACUGAGACACGGCCCGGACUCCUACGGGAGGCAGCAGUCGGGAAUAUUGGACAAUGGGCGCAAGCCUGAUCCAGCAAUACCGCGUGUGUGAAGAAGGCCUGCGGGUUGUAAAGCACUUUCAGUUGGGAAGAUAAUGACGUUACCAACAGAAGAAGCACCGGCUAACUCCGUGCCAGCAGCCGCGGUAAUACGGAGGGUGCAAGCGUUAAUCGGAAUUACUGAGCGUAAAGCGCACGUAGGCGGCCAUUUAAGUCAAAUGUGAAAGCCCUGGGCUCAACCUGGGAACUGCAUCUGAUACUGGGUGGCUAGAAUUGA
rnacentral:rRNA from 1 species